GGAGGUAGUGACAAUAAAUCACAAUGCGGAACUUUUAGUUUUGCAAUUGGAUUGAGAACAAUGUACAAAUGUUAUCGAUAAACAAUUGGAGGGCAAGUCUGGUGCCAGCAGCCGCGGUAAUUCCAGCUCCAAUAGCGUAUAUUAACGUUGUUGCAGUUAAAAAGCUCGUAGUUGAAAUGUGGGAUGAAGUAUAUAAUGAAUUUCUAAUUCAAUUGUAUAUUGAUUCCCCUCUCCAAUUUAUUAUUAUGGGUAUUAAUUUAUUUGUAAUAAGAAUUGGUCAUUUACUGUGAGAAAAUUAGAGUGUUCAAAGCAGGCAUUUGCUCGAAUAGAUUAGCAUGGAAUAAUACUAAAAGGCUUUUAUGGUCGAUUUAAUUGGUUUGUUCAUAAAAGCAAGAUUAAAAGGAACAGUUGGGGGUAUUCAUAUUCAAUAGUUAGAGGUGAAAUUCUCGGAUUUAUGGAAGAUGAACAAGUGCGAAAGCAA
rnacentral:rRNA from 1 species